rnacentral:rRNA from 1 species
CACUCCUACGGGAGGCAGCAGUGGGGAAUUUUGGACAAUGGGCGAAAGCCUGAUCCAGCAAUGCCGCGUGAGUGAAGAAGGCCUUCGGGUUGUAAAGCUCUUUUGUCAGGGAAGAAACGGUGAGAGCUAAUAUCUCUUGCUAAUGACGGUACCUGAAGAAUAAGCACCGGCUAACUACGUGCCAGCAGCCGCGGUAAUACGUAGGGUGCAAGCGUUAAUCGGAAUUACUGGGCGUAAAGCGUGCGCAGGCGGUUUUGUAAGUCUGAUGUGAAAUCCCCGGGCUCAACCUGGGAAUUGCAUUGGAGACUGCAAGGCUAGAAUCUGGCAGAGGGGGGUAGAAUUCCACGUGUAGCAGUGAAAUGCGUAGAUAUGUGGAGGAACACCGAUGGCGAAGGCAGCCCCCUGGGUCAAGAUUGACGCUCAUGCACGAAAGCGUGGGGAGCAAACAGGAUUAGAAACCCCAGUAGUCCCA